CACCCGAGAGUUCAGAAGGAAAUAAGACAUAAGUUUGCAGAACUACUGACCAGAUGGUGACAAGUGCUCUAAAUCAGAACAUGUGAGCUACAGAAUGGUUUAACAGAAAGCGUUUCAUCACUGAUGACUUGAACACUUUGCUAAGGGGACAGAGAAUCCUUCAUUACCUGAGGAAAACUUGGAAAGAAUUUAAACAAUCAGUGCAUGUGAAAGGUAUAACCUUCAGAAGAUGAGAUGUGAAGUUCGGCACUAAGCAGGUAGUACAAAUCCCUUCAGGGAGAAGAAUAAUGAAGAUACCAGCAUCUCCUUUUCCAGUCAUGACAACCUCUGG
rnacentral:lncRNA from 1 species